rnacentral:lncRNA from 13 species
AAGCAGUGCUGGAAUUGGGAGCUUUAUCCGGUCUGAAAAGUGGUCACUGGGGGAGUGACCACUAGCACAAUAAAAAGUCCACAGUGCCUGGUGGGAGAUGAUAGCAAACAGUCUCCCACCAGGCCCUUGCUAAUAUUGAAGAGAAUUUGGAGCUGGAGGAUGUAGACAGCAGCAGCAGUUUCCAGACAGCAAUGAUGCCUGAGGUCAGGAAGCUGACAAUGUCAUGGUUCUGGGUGGUCCAUCUGCUUUGGAAUAAGACCCCAGCCAGCAGCUGGGGUUAUCAGAAAAAUGGUCCAGCUUUUAGGCAAAGAAGCUCGCAUGAACUGGAACUGUCUCUGGCAUAUCUUGGGUACAAUAAUGAAGAAGAUAAGAGCAGAAGACUCAGAGCAUUCACAGAAUUUUAAAGGGACCCCCGAGGAGAAGAAACAAAUUUUUAUAAGAAAAGCAGAACACCGAACACUUGAACAACUGGUUAUUUUCUCUUUAGUGUGAUCAAGAGGGAGGUAUCAGAAAGAAAGCAAUAGUCUAGAUUCAAAAAGCAUCCAAAACUUCAGUACCUUAUUUAAUGUGGCCAAGUGGUUUAGGUAGCAAAGCUCAUUUUUUUACUUACAUGUUCACUUAUUAAUUAUUAUCUUUAUCUCAAUUUCUCUAUUGCAAAAUUAUGACUGAAGUAAUAUAUAUCUCCUAGAGUGGUUGUGAUGAUUAAAGGAGUUUAUAGUAUCAAAGGUUAAGAAAAGUCCCAGAUACAUAAUAAGUAUUCAUAAAGAUUAGCUAUAAUCAUUGCUAUCAUCGUCAUUUUCAUGAUCACUACCAUCGCUAUCAAGAUGAAUCGCUUGUUCAGAGAACAGCGUAACUGAAGACUGUGAGCUCCCUGAAGAUAAGUGUGGCAUAGUUACCACUGUUAUGUCUGCCAAUUAGGAUAGAGCUCAGUGCAAACUAGGGGCUCAACAAAUGUCUAUUGGUUAAAACAAUGGAUAUGUACAUGAAGCUCAGCAGAAACUUGGUGGCUAAAUAAAACAGCAGAAAGGCCAUAGUGGUGUGAAAAG